UCUCCGUAGGUGAACCUGCGGAGGGAUCAUUACCGAGUGAGGGCUCACGCCCGACCUCCAACCCUUUGUGAACCCAUCUUGUUGCUUCGGGGGCGACCCUGCCGGCACUCUGUCGCCGGGCGCCCCCGAAGGUCUCCCAACACUGCAUCUUUGCGUCGGAGUAUUGAAAGCAAAUCAAUCAAAACUUUCAACAACGGAUCUCUUGGUUCUGGCAUCGAUGAAGAACGCAGC
rnacentral:misc_RNA from 1 species